rnacentral:rRNA from 1 species
UUUGUUUGGAGAGUUUGAUCCUGGCUCAGGACGAACGCUGGCGGCGUGCUUAACACAUGCAAGUCGAACGGUGAAGGGGCCUGCUUUUGUGGGUCCUGGAUGAGUGGCGAACGGGUGAGUAACACGUGAGUAACCUGCCCCCUUCUUCUGGAUAACCGCAUGAAAGUGUGGCUAAUACGGGAUAUUCUGUGCCUGCUGCAUGGUGGGUGUGGGAAAGAUUGCGCCCUUUUUGGGUGUUUU